rnacentral:lncRNA from 1 species
GAGGGCUUCCUCUGCACAGUAGACAAGGAGGCUGGAAAUAUCACACAAGUCACGAGAGCCUCGUUAAAGUCUCCCCUGACACCUGCUUCCAGUGGCGCACGCCUGAAAAGUAAGUUUUCCGACUAAUUGGCUCUACCGUCCCCAGCCCGGCGGGUGUCACAGCGAUCGGGCACUGCCGUCACAGUAAUAAUACCUUAGAUUUAUGGAAUGACCUUUCUCCCCACUCCAAAGUGGCUAAGAGACAUGGGAGACAGCUGAAAAUGCUAAACAGACAGAAAUGGGACACGAAGAGAUUUAAGACAGAG